AUAGCAAACUGGCUUAUCGCCUCGAUCAAUAUCUUGAUAACUAUUGAGAUAGAACGGGGAGGAAAGUCCGGGCAGCAUAGAGUAACAUACUUCCUAACGGGAAGGCGGGAAAUUAAUUUUCUGACAGAUAGUGCCACAGAAAAUAAACCGCUCCGCAGAAGUCCUGAUUUCUAUCAGGAUCGAAGGUGGAGUAAGGGUGAAAAGGUGAUCAUGAUUUAUCAUGGAUUGGUUAUGGUAACAUUUCCAAGGGUAAGAGCUCACCAGUACGGUUGGUAACAAUUGUAGCUAGGUAAACCUUAUGUGCUGAAAGACCAAAUAAACCAAGGAUUGUUGCAAAACAAUAAGGGUUACUCGCCUAAACUUGGAGGGUAGGUUGCUUGAGGCCAGUAGUGAUGCUGAUCCUAGAUAAAUGAUAGGCGUUCUUCUUGUCCAUUGGAUAAGAUGAAUACAGAACCCGGCUUAUAGGUUUGCAAAAAAU
rnacentral:RNase_P_RNA from 1 species